CUUUCAGCAACGGAUCUCUUGGCUCUCGCAUCGAUGAAGAACGCAGCGAAAUGCGAUAAGUAAUGUGAAUUGCAGAAUUCAGUGAAUCAUCGAAUCUUUGAACGCACCUUGCGCCCUUUGGCUAUUCCGGAGGGCAUGCCUGUUUGAGUAUCAU
rnacentral:rRNA from 1 species